AUGCCGCCACCUCCCUCCCCAUCCCCUCCCUCGGUGAGCCACCGGCGAGCCCCUCUACUGCCCGCGCACGCACAACCUCGGCUCCUGUUGCUCUCCAUCGACCCCGAUGCUCCUACUCCAGCCGGCAUCUGGCGGAGCAUCGCCACUCCGACCCCCUCCCUUCCCCACCCGCUCCUCUCGAUCCCGUCCCCUUCCUCCCUGCCGUCUUCUCCUUGCGACGCCCCACCCUCCACCAGGCCCUCCGCCAGCCCGAGCCCCUCGCUCCCUUCUCCACCUUCGCUCGACUUGACCAUGUCGUCGUGGGGGAUGGGGUCGUUGGGCUCACGGCCGAGCUCGACAAGGUGGAGCUCGUGCGCGCCCACGACGAUCCUGAGCGCAACGCCGGCUUCUGCUUCCUCUACUACGCGGACGGCGCAGGUCGACGGUGUAGGUCGCGGGCGUGGCGGAGCCCAUCCAUCCACCCAUCUUCCCCAAAGUUUCCUUCGACAAGUAGCAGCAGCGGAAGGACAUGGCGACGAACGUGCAGAUGGGCGGCGGCUCUCGCUCAUCAACAACACCUUCUACUCCAACAAGGAGAUCUUCCUCCGCGAGCUCAUCUCCAACUCGUCAGAUGCGCUUGACAAGAUCCGGCUCGAGAGCCUGACGGACAAGAGCAAGCUCGACGCCAGCCGGAGCUCUUCAUCCGCCUCAUCCCCGGUAAGCCCAACAAGACGCUCUCCAUCAUCGACAGGGCGUCGGCAUGACAAAAUCAGGAACGUCACUGGAUUCUGGAAUCUGACCGAGAUCCCGCCGGAGCUCUUCAACUCGAUGGAGCUGGUCUCUCUGUGA
rnacentral:rRNA from 1 species